GCGACUAUAGUUUAGUGGUAAAACUCCUGGUUGUGGUCCAGGCAUCGAGAGUUCGAUUCUCUCUAGUCGCCCCA
rnacentral:tRNA from 1 species